rnacentral:rRNA from 1 species
UACGGAGGAUCCAAGCGUUAUCCGGAUUUAUUGGGUUUAAAGGGUGCGUAGGCGGUUUGAUAAGUUAGAGGUGAAAUACCGGUGCUCAACACCGGAACUGCCUCUAAUACUGUUGAACUAGAGAGUAGUUGCGGUAGGUGGAAUUCUUGGUGUAGGGGUAAAAUCCGUAGAGAUCAAGAGGAAUACUCAUUGCGAAGGCGACCUGCUAGAACAUAACUGACGCUGAUGCGCGAAAGCGUGGGGAGCAAACAGG